AUUGAACGCUGGCGGCAUGCCUUACACAUGCAAGUCGAACGGUAACGGGCCUUCGGGUGCCGACGAGUGGCUAACGGGUGAGUAAUGUAUCGGAACGUACCUUUCAGUGGGGGAUAACGUAGCGAAAGUUACGCUAAUAACGCAUAUUCUGUGAGCAGGAAAGCAGGGGAUCGCAAGACCUUGCGCUGAUUGAGCGGCCGAUAUCAGAUUAGCUGGUUGGUGAGGUAGAGGCUCACCAAGGCGACGAUCUGUAGCGGGUCUGAGAGGAUGAUCCGCCACACUGGAACUGAGACACGGUCCAGACUCCUACGGGAGGCAGCAGUGGGGAAUUUUGGACAAUGGGGGCAACCCUGAUCCAGCCAUGCCGCGUGAGUGAAGAAGGCCUUCGGGUUGUAAAGCUCUUUCGGCCGGGAAGAAAUCGUAUCAGCUAAUACCUGGUGCGGAUGACGGUACCGGCAUAAGAAGCACCGGCUAACUACGUGCCAGCCGCCGCAGUAAUAC
rnacentral:rRNA from 1 species